UACGAAGGGGGCUAGCGUUGUUCGGAAUCACUGGGCGUAAAGCGCACGUAGGCGGAUUGUUAAGUCAGGGGUGAAAUGCCAAGGCUCAACCUUGGAACUGCCUUUGAUACUGGCAAUCUCGAGUCCGGGAGAGGUGAGUGGAACUGCGAGUGUAGAGGUGAAAUUCGUAGAUAUUCGCAAGAACACCAGUGGCGAAGGCGGCUCACUGGCCCGGUACUGACGCUGAGGUGCGAAAGCGUGGGGAGCGAACAGG
rnacentral:rRNA from 1 species